rnacentral:rRNA from 1 species
GUGGGGAAUCUUCCGCAAUGGACGAAAGUCUGACGGAGCAACGACGCGUGAGUGAAGAAGGUUUUCGGAUCGUAAAGCUCUUUCGUUAGGGACGAACGUGCUCUUUGUGAAUAAUGAGGAGUAAUGACGGUACCUAAAUAAGAAGCCACGGCUAACUACGUGCCAGCAGCCGCGGUAAUACGUAGGUGGCAAGCGUUGUCCGGAAUUAUUGGGCGUAAAGCGCGCGCAGGCGGGAUAUCAAGUCUGUCUUAAAAGUGCGAGGCUCAACCUCGUGAGGGGACAGAAACUGGUAUUCUUGAGUGUCGGAGAGGAAAGUGGAAUUCCAAGUGUAGCGGUGAAAUGCGUAGAGAUUUGGAAGAACACCAGUGGCGAAGGCGACUUUCUGGACGAUGUCUGACGCUGAGGCGCGAAAGCUAGGGGAGCGAACGGGAUUAGAUACCCGAGUAGUCC